GACAGAGUGAGGGAGGGGGUGACACAAUGACAGAGGGAGGGAUGGGGUGACUAGUGACAGUCACCACCUCCUUCACUCUGUCACUAGUCACUCCCUCCCUCCCUCUGUCAUUGUGUCACCCCCUUCCUCACUCUGUCA